CUGCAAUCUUCAAAUCUUCAAGUGCCUCCAAGGCAUGUAUGAAGGGAAGUAAACUUAUGAGGCCUGAAAUUCUUUUAAUUUUUAAGGUCAUGAGGCAGGUAAGAUCAGGCAAACUUCUGAGAAUCAUCUCUUGGCAGUUUUCAAUGUUCAAUUCAGAGAGAGAGGGUAGCAUUUCAGGUAAUUUUGCUAAUUGUGGGCAAUGUUGAAUCUUUAGUUUUCCCAGGGAAGGAAGGAAGGUGGGCAAUUUUCCAACCAAGUUAGGACAAUUUCUCACUGUAAGCUCUCGCAGAUUAGGAAAAUUCCUUGCAUCCUCUUCAUUGGGAACAUUAAACCAGGACCAUUGCUCCCAGCAUGACAUGUUCUCAAUGUUCAGAGUUUCCAAAGACGCAAAAGUCGUAGAAAAGGGUGAACCAUCCCCACAAAACUCAAUACCCACUUCUUUUAUCCCAGCCAUGCCUACCAAGCU
rnacentral:misc_RNA from 1 species